UACCGUAAGAAUAAGGAUCGGCUAACUCCGUGCCAGCAGCCGCGGUAAUACGGAGGAUCCGAGCGUUAUCCGGAUUUAUUGGGUUUAAAGGGUGCGCAGGCGGGUAUAUAAGUCAGAGGUGAAAUUCCAGGGCUCAACCUUGGGACUGCCUUUGAUACUGUAUGUCUAGAGUAUAGUUGGAGUGGGCGGAAUGUAGCAUGUAGCGGUGAAAUGCUUAGAUAUGCUACAGAACACCGAUCGUGAAGACAGCUCACUAAGCUAUAACUGACGCUCAGGCACGAAAGCAUGGGGAGCAAACAGGAUUAGAUACCCUGGUAGU
rnacentral:rRNA from 1 species